UACGUAGGGGGCGAGCGUUGUCCGGAUUUAUUGGGCGUAAAGGGCGCGUAGGCGGCCUUGCAAGUGACGGGUGAAAUCCCUCGGCUUAACCGAGGAACUGCCUCCCAAACUGCUUGGCUUGAGACCGGGAGAGGUGAGUGGAAUUCCCAGUGUAGCGGUGAAAUGCGUAGAUAUUGGGAGGAACACCAGUGGCGAAGGCGGCUCACUGGUCCGGUACUGACGCUGAGGUGCGAAAGCGUGGGGAGCAAACAGG
rnacentral:rRNA from 1 species